rnacentral:rRNA from 1 species
GUGACGGAGAGUUUGAUCCUGGCUCAGAAUGAAUGCUGGCGGCGUGCCUAACACAUGCAAGUCGAGCGAGAAAGUACUUCGGUAUGAGUACAGCGGCGUACGGUUGAGUAACGCGUGAGAAUCUGCCCUUUAGUGAGGAAUAUCUUCGAGAAAUCGAAGUUAAUACUGCAUACGUCCUUAUAGAGAUAUAAGGAGAAAGGUGGCCUCUUUGCUACCGCUAAAGGAUGAGCUUGCGUACUAUCAGCUAGUUGGUGGGGUAAUGGCCUACCAAGGCUAUGACGGUUAACCGGCCUGAGAGGGUGUACGGUCAGACUGGAACUGAGAUACGGUCCAGACUCCUACGGGAGGCAGCAGUGGGGAAUAUUGCGCAAUGGGCGAAAGCCUGACGCAGCGACGCCGCGUGAAGGAUGAAGGCCUACGGGUUGUAAACUUCUGUUAAGCGGGAAGAAAACUCUAUUUCUAAUAAAGAUAGAUAUGACGGUACCGCUAGAGAAAGCACUGGC